GACGUAGGGCGCGAGCGUUGUCCGGAUUUAUUGGGCGUAAAGAGCUCGUAGGCGGCUUGUCGCGUCGUCCGUGAAAACUUGGGGCUCAACCCCAAGCUUGCGGUCGAUACGGGCAGGCUAGAGUUCGGUAGGGGAGACUGGAAUUCCUGGUGUAGCGGUGAAAUGCGCAGAUAUCAGGAGGAACACCGGUGGCGAAGGCGGCAUCCUGGACCAUUACUGACACUGAAAAGCGAAAGCCAGGGGAGCAAACGGG
rnacentral:rRNA from 1 species